rnacentral:lncRNA from 1 species
CCAACGCGGCAUGCGGCAAGCCUAACAGCUGCAAUAUGCCUCUGCACAGAGUACCAUGAUGCUCUCAUCAAUGGACUUUGCCGGGCGUUAUUGCUGGCGCGCCAGCGCCUGGCCGGCGUGUGUGAAGUAAGUCAUGGUCGCGCGCGCCGACGGCGAACAUGCCCCCCAGCAACCCUGUAAUCGAUAAGCUGCAGCACAGUACUGCCAUCUACAAUAUCCACACGCAAAAGUGCCUUCUGUUGUGGCGGCUCGUCGCUGCGCAUGAACGUUUCAAUGACCAUCCCUCACCCGACAGCCGCCUGGGACGGAAGAUUCUGCUGCCAAGCUUGGCUCAAUGCAGUCCUGGGGCUCCAUUUCUGACCUGAGCUCCAGUGACCACUGGAG